CUGCAGAGUCCACGCCAACCUAACCCUAAUUACCCUUCUCCCAGCUCCUCCCUACCAACCUUCAGCCGCCGCCACUCCACCUAUCCUCCUGGUGCCACUCCACCGGCGCCGGCGCUGAACUACCCCGUGCCGCUCCACCGUCGCCAGCGCUGAACCACCCCGCGCCGGGCCGCUCCCCACCAUUCCCCUCCCAUCUCCAUUCAGAUCUCCCCUAGUCCUACCCCUCAAGCCGAGGUGGCAGUGGCGGCAGCGGGACUGACGGCCGGACUUGGAAGCCCCCGAGGUCAUCGCGGUGGGGCAGGCAGCCAAAUUUGUAAGUCCCCGAGGUCACCGGCGGCGGGCACGGAUCCAGCUCCAUCCGACGGAGAGCCCUUGUCGGUCUCAUGGGGAUGGUUAGCUGCAAGGCGGAGCAGAACACAAAUGAGUCCUUCACGCUCGACCACGGCACCGACCGCAUCGAUUUCAUUAGAUGUGGCGGAGCUACAAAGAAAAGCCUAGGCAGGCCAAUCUAAAAACCAUGAAAAAAUCAACCCAAGGAAAGGAUGAUGGCUGCCGCUGAAAAGUCUUCCUCAACUCCAUCCGUAACGUACAUCUCUUUUUUCACUUGAAAACCAAAUCGAUUUUGCGUUGAUUAGCGUUGCUACCCAGUGCCCAUGGCAAUUAUCUACUACCCAAAUUAGCAUGUGUAUUAUUAAUUCA